AAGAAGAAAACUAACUCAUAAAAAUCCUGUUAGAAUGGAAACAUUUCUGCUUAAAUAUCAUUUGGUUAGAUUCAAACUCAGACAAUGAAUGAAGGUGCUCUCUUGACAAUUUUAAGACAUUUUAUCAUAUUGGAUUUAAAAAAAAAAAAAGAUUAAAAUAUCUUCAAUUUUUUUGCAUAUUUGACCUAAUCACUGGCAAACAUGCCAAGUUUGAAAAAAAUAAAACCUUCAGCAGAGUUUAGGCUCUAACAACAUGAGCAGGAUUCAAGGGAAGUGGGCGGGUUUUCAAUCAGACGCACACUUGUCAGCUGUGUGGUGGGAAAGUCAAACAAAAGGAAGCAAAGCAGUGAGAAAAAAAGGAAAUAAACUUCAAAGUCUGAAACGUUUAACUUGGUUAAUAAGGUAAAUAAAUCUGUAAAGCAAAGGAAGUGAUGUGGUGAUUACAACAAGGAGCUGGAUGACGAAUCUAAGGAACAAAAACAGCUCUGGAACCGUUGGAGGAACUCAGACCAUUCUGUGAUUUUGGAGUCAGGGAAUAAGAAGGGUGUGUCGAUUUGUACCUUUGAACUGGGUGUGCAGACGAUCUGAGAGGUUCUGGUAGAAAUCCUGCACACACUCUGACAGCUCAUCUGCACCCAUAUCCUAGACCAUGCUCUCAGUGAAGGCUCGGCACUGUUUAAAGAUCUCCCUGCCUGACUUCAGAGGCCUAAGGAAAUCAAUGAACUCUUUUGUUGCCUGGUCACUGUCCACAGAGGAAUGUCUGCUGACAGAGGAACUUGGAC